CUGUAGUGGGCGGAGUCUGCAGUGGGCGUGUCCCAUAAGUAACUAUCCUUGAGAGACAAGGCUCCUUGGAACUUACUCUUGGAAGGUAAACGUUCCAACAAAACGAAGCCCUGUGAACUCCGCUGGCGGCACUUUGUCAUCGCUGGCAGGAAACCUUCAGAGACUGCAGCGAACUGCCUCUUAAUCCUGUCAGGCAAGCGAGGAUGCAGACGUGAUGGAUGGAGCUUGUGCAGCCAUUCUUAGUCCAUGAAGCACUGGACCAGAAAUGUCAGAACAGCACACAGGGAGAAGCCUGGGUAUGGAGAACCUUGUGGAAUUCAUUGUCCUGCCAGCAUUGGGCUUUCUAUGGCAUAUAAUCUGUCUGGUGAGGAGCACUCUCCCCGUUUUACUUCCAGUCGUCCCUCUCUCCGUCCUCCAUGUCUCCUCCCCUUCCCUCUCUCCCUUUCUCCCAUGUUUUCCUCUUCCUCUCUGCAGCCGGGCUGAAUUCUAACUGGGACUCAGCCAACAGUGGUUCUGCUUCCCUG
rnacentral:lncRNA from 1 species